rnacentral:rRNA from 1 species
GACGAACGCUGGCGGCGUGCCUAAUACAUGCCAGUAGAACGCUGAAGAGAGGAGCUUGCUCUUCUUGGAUGAGUUGCGAACGGGUGAGUAACGCGUAGGUAACCUGCCUUGUAGCGGGGGAUAACUAUCGGAAACGAUAGCUAAUACCGCAUAACAAUGGAUGACACAUGUCAUUUAUUUGAAAGGGGCAAUUGCUCCACUACAAGAUGGACCUGCGUUGUAUUAGCUAGUAGGUGAGGUAAUGGCUCACCUAGGCGACGAUACAUAGCCGACCUGAGAGGGUGAUCGGCCACACUGGGACUGAGACACGGCCCAGACUCCUACGGGAGGCAGCAGUAGGGAAUCUUCGGCCAUGGGGGCAACCCUGACCGAGCAACGCCGCGUGAGGGAAGAAGGGUUUCGGAUCGUAAAGCUCUGUUGUAAGUCAAGAACGGGUGUGAGAGUGGAAAGUUCACACUGUGACGGUAGCUUACCAGAAAGGGACGGCUAACUACGUG